ensembl:lncRNA
CUGAGGGCAGACCAUGAGCACGCUGAGUGUGUGAAUAGGUGCAAGCAAUUUGUGAGCAAAUGAGGAACAAACUCUCACAUUCACUUGUAAAGUAUUCAGGCUCAAUGCUGUGGCCAAACGGAUCUAAAAACAUCGCAGGCUCUAAUAGAUGUAUGUUUCUGUGGUUUGGUUGUGUGAUUCACCGGAAAUGCUAUCUGUGGUAUUCUGAGAAGCAGUUCGGCAAAAUGAUACGUGAGUACAUCAAAGUUCACUUAGACAAGCAUCUUCUUUGGAGUCGGUCUUAUAGGAUUGUUCUUCAUCAUGGCUGGACGCCUGCUGUUUGUCACCCUCAUGUAUUCCUGUGCCAAUACUAAAACACAAGCUCGUCCUCAACUCAUAAUGAAUUCAGCGGUGAUCUCAGAGACGGAAACAGUCACAUUGGACUGUCGAGCUCCAUCAUAUCCUACUGUCCACCAGUGUUAUUUCACCAUUAUCGGAGCAAAACAUGCCAAAGGCUUCACUUGUGUGCAGACACUGACAGGAACUGAACUGUUGAGGAUGUCAGACCAGAGAGCACCUGCUGAGGUUAAAGUGGAUUGUUAUUACACUGUAAUGGUUGGAGACGUGAAUCAUCCAUCUGCACACAGUGUCACAUCAUCCAUCACAAUCCAAAAUGUUGUCAAGUCGAGCACGACGCAGACUAAGACGGCAUCUGCUGUGACCACAGCAGGUCUUUGUGCUUCCAGGCCUGUAACUACUGUAAAGCAAACAUCAGCAGAUCAAACCUUUGGACCAAGAAACUCUGGUAGUUUUAGUUCUCCUCCCCUCACAACAGACAAACCAACAUCAGAUGUUGUCGAGUCGAGCACGACGCAGACUAAGCCGGCAUCUACUGUGACCACAGCAGGUCUCAGUGCUUCCACGCCUGUAACUCGUAUAAAGCAAACAUCAGCAGAUCAAACCUUUGGACCAAGAAACUCUGGUAGUUUUAGUUCUCCUCCCCUCACAACAGACAAACCAACAUCAGGUGACACAAAGACUCACAUUUCUUUAUUUUUUUUUACAUUUCAAUAUUUGGUGACACAAAUACAUUUCUAUAUUGUUUUUUCCAAAUAUUUAUUUAAUAUUCUUACCACUGAACUCUUUUUUAGAACCAGGAGUUGAAAUUAAAGUGGGCUGUGAUCAUGUGUUUCUGCUUGGUUUGAGUAGUACGUAAUGCUCUGAAAUUAGACAGUAAAGACCUGUUUCUGAUUAUAUAUCAGAAUUUCAUGAUGAAGCUUGCGUGCAACGUUAACAGUUAAAUUGUCAGUUGAGAAGCAACACUUUGCCUCUCCUUUUUUAGAUUGUGUUCUCUUUUUGUAGGCAUUCAGUAUUUUCACACUCCUUCUUGCUUCUGUGUUUGUUGUGAAACUGAAACUGAGAUGAUUGUGGCUUCCGAAACAGAAAUGCAGAGAUGGAUGUUCAUGGUGAUUGCGAUUUGUUUGGGAGGUUUUUUCUCUAUUUCCUUACUGGGACUGGGCCUUCUGUGUAGAAAAAGAACAUUGGGUAAGAACUUGACUUAUGUGUCAGAAAUCAUUGAGUUAUUCUUUGCUCCCUGCUGCUUGAUGAACUGACAAAGAAUUUGAGCAGAGGGUCAAAAGAGGCACUAAAGACCCUUUUGAACACAACUUGCACAUAACUCUGUUUAGAGAACAGCAUCGUUUACCACAUUUGCAUUAAUGUCAUUGGAUGUUAGUAGUUCCUCACCUGUAAGUAUUCCAGAGAGAGCUGGACUUCCAAGCAAACUGCCUUAUGUAACAAUAUGCUUUUCUCUCUGUUGUGUUUUUCAGAAAGAUGUUCUUAUAAGAGGUCACAAGCUGAUGUCACUGGUAAUAUGCACACGUAGUCAGACAUCAUCACUGAAUUAUUUCUAUACACAUUUAGAAUGUGGUCUUUCUGUUCUGUCACAUUUGCAGGUUCUGUGAAACUGGAGGAGCAAACAUUUACAAAUGAGAAUCCCAUAUACCAUCUCUACUCCACUAUCCCCGACGAGCCGCCUGCAUCAGCCCAGGAGGAAGCGAUGUACAGCUACCUGCAGCCACAGUUGAAGCACUAGCCUUUUAUACUGUAGAGAAACUGUUUGAGCGGAAAGUCUUCUUUAAUCCAUUUAUUUUACAUUUUUUAAACAUAAUAUUCUUUGCAAAAAUGCAAUGCCAAUUGUAACUAAUGAACAACAGGUCUCAGCUGGGUGGCACACUUGAUAUUUUGUUUUACAGGGAGAAAAGAUUAUUGAAUUUUUAUAUUGAAUUACAGAGAAUGGACGUUUACUUUUUGCAAUUGUUGAAUAUGUGCAAAGGUUUCAUUUUGUGAAGUUGGAGGCUGUUGAUUAGCACUACAUUGUAGACAGCUUCUUCUUUCUCUUUAAAGAUUCAAGUCAAAGAUGGGUCAGGAUUUUCUUCUGCAUGCUGUCAUAAAACAGCAUAAGCUUGCUUCUUUAGGACCUGUAACACGAUGCCUGCUCAAUAGAAUUAAACAAUUAAAAAAAUAAGAUAACCAGAGCUGCCAACUUUUCAAAAAACCUUGGAGUGAGAUUUUGUCGGGGGUGACCAAAAUUUUGCCGCGCACGCAGCCACACACGUUGGUGGCUCAAAUAUCA